rnacentral:rRNA from 1 species
UAAUACAUGCAAGUCGAGCGGAUUGAUGGGAGCUUGCUCCCUGAUAUCAGCGGCGGACGGUUGAGUAACACGUGGGUAACCUGCCUGUAAGACUGGGAUAACUCCGGGAAACCGGGGCUAAUACCGGAUAACUCAUUUCCUCGCAUGAGGAAAUGUUGAAAGGUGGCUUUUAGCUACCACUUACAGAUGGACCCGCGGCGCAUUAGCUAGUUGGUGAGGUAACGGCUCACCAAGGCGACGAUGCGUAGCCGACCUGAGAGGGUGAUCGGCCACACUGGGACUGAGACACGGCCCAGACUCCUACGGGAGGCAGCAGUAGGGAAUCUUCCGCAAUGGACGAAAGUCUGACGGAGCAACGCCGCGUGAGUGAUGAAGGUUUUCGGAUCGUAAAGCUCUGUUGUUAGGGAAGAACAAGUGCCGUUCGAAUAGGGCGGCACCUUGACGGUACCUAACCAGAAAGCCACGGCUAACUACGUGCCAGCAGCCGCGGUAAUAC